UACGUAGGGCGCAAGCGUUGUCCGGAAUUAUUGGGCGUAAAGAGCUCGUAGGCGGCCUGUUACGUCUGCUGUGAAAUCCCGGGGCUUAACCCCGGGCGUGCAGUGGAUACGGGCAGGCUGGAGGCAGGCAGGGGAGAACGGAAUUCCCGGUGUAGCGGUGAAAUGCGCAGAUAUCAGGAGGAACACCGGUGGCGAAGGCGGAUCUCUGGGCCAUUACUGACGCUGAGGAGCGAAAGCGUGGGGAGCGAACAGG
rnacentral:rRNA from 1 species